UACAGAGGUCUCAAGCGUUGUUCGGAUUCAUUGGGCGUAAAGGGUGCGUAGGUGGCGAGGUAAGUCAGGUGUGAAAUCUCGGGGCUCAACCCCGAAACUGCACUUGAUACUGCCUUGCUCGAGUACUGGAGAGGAGAUUGGAAUUUACGGUGUAGCAGUGAAAUGCGUAGAUAUCGUAAGGAAGACCAGUGGCGAAGGCGAAUCUCUGGACAGUUACUGACACUGAGGCACGAAGGCCAGGGGAGCAAAACGGG
rnacentral:rRNA from 1 species